rnacentral:rRNA from 1 species
AGAGUUUGAUCAUGGCUCAGGAUGAACGCUGGCGGCGUGCUUAACACAUGCAAGUCGAACGAUGAUCCGGUGCUUGCACCGGGGAUUAGUGGCGAACGGGUGAGUAACACGUGAGUAACCUGCCCUUAACUCUGGGAUAAGCCUGGGAAACUGGGUCUAAUACCGGAUAUGACUCCUCAUCGCAUGGUGGGGGGUGGAAAGCUUUUUGUGGUUUUGGAUGGACUCGCGGCCUAUCAGCUUGUUGGUGAGGUAAUGGCUCACCAAGGCGACGACGGGUAGCCGGCCUGAGAGGGUGACCGGCCACACUGGGACUGAGACACGGCCCAGACUCCUACGGGAGGCAGCAGUGGGGAAUAUUGCACAAUGGGCGCAAGCCUAAUGCAGCGACGCCGCGUGAGGGAUGACGGCCUUCGGGUUGUAAACCUCUUUCAGUAGGGAAGAAGCGAAAGUGACGGUACCCGCAGAAGAAGCGCCGGCUAACUACGUGCCAGCAGCCGCGGUAAUACGUAGGGCGCAAGCGUUAUCCGGAAUUAUUGGGCGUAAAGAGCUCGUAGGCGGUUUGUCGCGUCUGCCGUGAAAGUCCGGGGCUCAACUCCGGAUCUGCGGUGGGUACGGGCAGACUAGAGUGAUGUAGGGGAGACUGGAAUUCCUGGUGUAGCGGUGAAAUGCGCAGAUAUCAGGAGGAACACCGAUGGCGAAGGCAGGUCUCUGGGCAUUAACUGACGCUGAGGAGCGAAAGCAUGGGGAGCGAACAGGAUUAGAUACCCCGGUAGUCC